AUAAAGCUAUGCUAAGUAACCAAUUUAUGCAUGUCCAGCCUUAAAAUCUAGUGUUAAAUAUUAUUCAGUAUAAUUUGUAUUGUUGUUUGGUUUAGAUUAGAUGUUUGGCAACUAUCUUUUUGAGUUAAAGCCACCUAUAAUCCUCCCACAAAUUUUUUUAACUGCCCCAAAUUUGAGCAGGAUAGGUGAGCUCUCAUGAUGCUCGAUUUUUUGAUCUGUUUAAUGAUGUUAUAUGGCAUAUGGCAAAUAACUAGUGGAAUAUAGUUUAUUUGCAGUGACGUUCAUUUUUGAUCUAUUUAAGUAUGGAACUUUUGAUCAGCUGUUAAGCAUUUGGUAAACUCUAUGACAUGAUGUACACAACCACAAAUCUUUAUGGCAAUUAGAUUGCAGUAUGGUAUUUGUUUCUUGUAUGAAUGAUUAUAUGUCAUCGUACAUGUAGAUGAUAUGUUCUUAUUUUGACUGGACAUGAGGGGGAGCAAGGUGGCUGGAGAUGGGAAAACGAUGAGGCUUUGUUUGGUAGAAGUGGAAUGGGGAGGUUUGGGGAGGGCUGGUGGUGGCUGUAGCCUCUUCCACAUUCCACCACCAUCAGCCUCCUUAACCCCAACCGAAGAGCUGGCCUUUUCCCCACUCACACGGCGCUGUGGUACGCGGAUGUCGCUGCAGAGUAGAGAGAUACCCCUAGAAGUCGCCUUCCUGUCCACCUCUUCAGAAGUGCCACCGCCUCGGACACGACGACAUUAGAACCCAGUUCCUAUCAUAGAGAUAUGGGGUCAGGAAAACCCAUCAGUUCAUUUAUUCCUGCUAGUUAAACUUGGGCUGUUAUAGAGAUAUGCAGGCCCAUCUAAUUACAUGUUACUCUCAAACUGUUUGAGCAAUAUGCAGUGAUGUUAGUCUGUAAUGCAUUGACAAUGGCCGCUACUUCAGGCGUUGCUAGCUGCAUUUCUCUACUGCCCUGUUGUUUUGUAGGUGACGCCCUUAGUUUUGCUACUUUGCAUAUUCUGGGAGCAAUUACAGUGAGGUUAUAUGUGAUUUUUGUUCACUUAA